AAGACCAGUGGAGGCAUGAGGAUGCCUCGGUUCAGAUGCUUCAGUAUAUUGUGAAUAACAAUGGUCUGAUAGAGCAGAUGAGAAUAAAUAAACUGAAUCCAGAUGAAGACCUUCCCUUUAUUAAGGAAUUAAUCAAGGGGGUGCAGGCUUCAGAGAGUCAGCAUGAAGAGAGAUCCACAAACAAACCUUUCCUGUAUGAGAUUGUGGUAAAUCAAUUGAAUGGUGUUGAUGUCCGCAAGUGGGACUAUAUUGCACGGUGAAUAUAAUAGCAUUUUAAAAAU